CUCCUUACCCUUGGGAAGUGAGCACGCGCAGUGCGUUUAGGAAGUUGUACGCAUACCCAACUGAAGCUUUCUUCCCUUCUCCAGUGGAGUGCACCUGCACAGAAACUCUCUCUGUACCACGUACCUGCUGCCAGAAGCUGGGAAGGAGUGGUGCUGGUGAUUCAAAACUGAUUUUCCUGCCUCUUCGAUGCCUCUUUUAGUGACAUACAGUUAAGACCAGGCACUCAAUGUGUGAAAGAGCCUCUUUCCCUACUGCUUCACCAAGUUUAAAACUUCAAAUUUUUUCAACUUGAUAGGGUAUAACCAGGAGUUGCGAAGUGGUCGUAGUUGUUCAUGUCUCAAUCUGGAUCAUCUUUGCUUUUUGCUUCUGCUUUGUGCUAUCCCUCUUCCCGUACCUCAGUUCUAUCUGGAACCAUGAUCUGUGACUGCCAUGGAAAAGUGUUGGGCAGGAGGAGGCCAGCUGGGUCUUUGAAGUUGACAAUGGAGCCAGGAAUGAAAGCUGCACUUAGGAUGAGAAUUGCUUUCCCUGGAGCCAAGUCAGCAAAUGCAGUCUGGUUGUCAGAGCUGAGAGGCUUCACCAAGUCAAGUAGGGGAGGACAUCUUCACUCUGCAACUUGCCCUACUGAAUGCAGAAAGUACUGUCUACUUAGAUAAAGCCUACACUAAAAGGGAAUUGAAUCUCUGCAAAUAAGUAUGUGGAUCUAAUUUCUACCUUCCAGAUUAAAA
rnacentral:lncRNA from 1 species